ACAGCAGCAGGAGAGAACUGUGGGUCUCAUGCCCAGCUUGUGACCUUUCUGGACACAUUGGGUUGGCCACUGUAGGGAAUGAAUUGCCAGAUUAGAUGGACCAGAAACUCUGCUUAUGAUUACCAUACAAUUAUCAUCAUGGAACAAAAGAAGGGCAUUUUGAGACUUGCGCUAUAACGCUGGGAAAGAAGAAGGACAAAUGCUGGACGCAUGCAAAACAUGGAUAUGGAAGCUCGGGGUUUUUGAGUGAGCCAGUAGUAGCAGGGCAGAACUUCCAGGGACACUCUUCAAAUGCUGUAUGUGCCUGACAGGAGUUUUAUCCACCCCUACCUUCAUAAGGGGACUGUGCUGAUCUAAGGAUAACUUGAUGAGGAUUCUGGAGAAGAAAGUUUCAUAGACAACCUAGGUACUUCACAUGACACUCGUAACGCCAAGAAACACUAAACAUAGUGCAUACCAGUUGAUGUGUGGCCUCCACAUAAUUGAUUCCUGAAUGACUUUUCCAAUGGAAAAACUGGAGGACAGUAUCAGCAUGGCUGCUGCUUCUGCUGUUUUGUUUGUGCUCAGGGUACAAUGAAGCACUGGAGAGGGUUAUUUCAUUCAUUCCCGAAAGGCUCUUUGGACGUACAGAGGAUGCGUUGUGCUGAAGUGAAAGGCAUCUUUCAAGGAGCGUGUCAUCUGCCCCCACUUGGCCUUGCUGUAGGACUGGAAUCAAAAUACCAUCUCAGACUUUGCAGCACGAUUCAUUCAAGCCACUUUGGAUAUCUUCCCCUCCGCUCUCUCUUCUCCAAAGCCUGUUGAAAUGUUCCCAGAGGCAAUGACCAUCUUCUCUUUCAUCGUGCUACCCUGAAGAUACCCUGCCACGUCUGAAACGAUGCCUCUGUUUAUGGAAACACAGUUGCAAAACAGUUGCAUUAUGGAUUCCAAAAUCUGUCUAUAGCAGCACAAGAAUAGUGGCACCAUAGAAUCCUGAAAGUUUGUUGUGGCAGGAACUGGCUGUCAGAAAAUCAGUCUGUUUUCAAUACUUGCACAACCAUUCAAGUCAGUUGGUGACAUGGGACUGUUGUGAGGAUAAACUGGUGUAACUCCCAGGUAUGGCUUCCUGAGGAGAAAGAAAUGUACCUAAUUACUUGCCUUUAUUUAUGGAUUAUGAAGUUCAUAGGGAGGAUCAUAAUGCCUGAGAACCCCCAAUUUGCCUAUUGAAAUCUCCUUGUUUCCCUGCCAAUCCUUUUAUUUUUGUUUACAGUGAGGAAAAAUAGUUUGUGAUGGUGCUUUGACACAUAGCAUCUUACUGUAAAACCCAUAGGUGGGCAUGCUUCCUUCCGUUUUAAGGUGCCUGCGAUAAGGACAUAUUCAAGUCCCCACCACAUUCUUUGGAAAGGACAGUCCCACUUCCAGCACUGUUUGUUCAAGCAAGCAAACCUAUGCUAUGGUUACAGUGGCCACAUUUCUAGAUGUAUUAAAAUUCUAGAACUUUCUCUGAUCCAGCUGUGACAUCCGUUUAACCACAAUGUUGUACUUCCCCUUUUGAAUGCUGUAAUUCUCCCUCAGAACACUACUGUACAAAAUGCAUUGAUCCACAGACAUCAACCCCACUAUGAAGACAUAAACCAUUGCUUUGUGUGACAGUCAGAGAUAGACUGACUGAAAAUGCCAAUAGCAGACAAUAUAUUCUUUCUUCCAAUUGAAAACAAGUCUGGUAUUUCAGGAGGAGGGGAGCAGUGGGCAAACCAAUGGAAUGUUUAAUUGCUGUGCAUAUAUAGAACCUUCUGAAGAAGAAGAAGAAGAAGAAGAAGAAGAAGAAGAAGAAGAAGAAGAAGAAGAAGAAGAAGAAGAAGAAGAAGAAGAAGUAGUUCUCAAGUGGUUUACAUAGAAAAAUUAAUAUUACAUAAAUAACAUGGUUGCCUGUCCCCAAAGGACUCACAAUCUAAAAAGAAACAUAAGACAGAUAGCAGCAACAGUGGCUGGGGUGUGUGUGCUGGGGUUGGAUAGGGCCAGUUGCUCUCUCCCUGCUAAAUAUAAGAGAAUCACUACUUUUAAAGGUCCCUCUUUGCUCAGUAGUUAGCAGGGUCUUUUGGUCCUGAAUCCCCAGAAGGUAUUUUGAUCCUGAAUCCCCAUGCCUGCAAGCCAUACUCAGUGCCACCCCUUAUGGGGUACGGGGUUUGGGGUGAAGGGACCUGCCCCCUUUGGGGUGAAGGGACGUCAGAUGGCAU